rnacentral:rRNA from 1 species
UACGGGGGGGGCAAGCGUUGUUCGGAAUUACUGGGCGUAAAGGGCUCGUAGGUGGUCAACUAAGUCGGACGUGAAAUCCCUCGGCUUAACCGGGGAACUGCGUCCGAUACUGGAUGACUUGAGUUCGGGAGAGGGAUGCGGAAUUCCAGGUGUAGCGGUGAAAUGCGUAGAUAUCUGGAGGAACACCGGUGGCGAAGGCGGCAUCCUGGACCGACACUGACGCUGAGGAGCGAAAGCCAGGGAGCAAACGGG